rnacentral:ncRNA from 2 species
ACAUAGGCAAUAUGAUAUAAUAUUUAAAAAUAAAUAAGAACAAAUUGGGAAACACCGGUGUUAAUCCGGGGCUGUGCCGCAACUGUAUUGAUUCAAUGAAUCUAAGCCAGGAUACCAAUUAGUUCAACCAACUCACU